GGGUGCCCAGUUGAUGGACUGAUUUCACCUUCAAAAGAGACAUCUGUUGAAAAUAAACUUCAUGACAUGGGAUGUUUUGAAAUUUUCCAUGGAGACACAAUAGGAAUCACUACUCAAGGGAAAUGGAGGUGAUCAAAUUUGAAGUGGAUGAUGAAGAAUUUUUGAACUAUUGUAAAAGUUUGAAUACAUAUUUGAUUUAUUGUGUACACAUUUAGAAUAUUGAUGUAUAAGUAUGGAUAUGUACACAACGCAUACUAUCUUUUGGUUGUACAUGAAAUGUUUCUCGAAGUUUAUUUGAAAUAUAUAGCUUCAAUUUAAUGAUUAAUUAGUUCAUUUUAUGUUUUA